UAUGGCAGCUGUUGGCUUGAAGUGAAAAAGGCUUGAGAUCCCACCUGAUGUCUCACAAGAUUACACUAUUUUAGUUGUCCUAGGAUAGGAAUUUGGUUCCCCAAAAAUUUGAACCAAACAAUAAUUGACAGAGUUGUGAAGGGAGAUGAGAUGGAAUGCAUGAAAG